CGUACACUCCUGCGGGAGGCAGCAGUGGGGAAUAUUGCACAAUGGGCGCAAGCCUGAUGCAGCCAUGCCGCGUGUAUGAAGAAGGCCUUCGGGUUGUAAAGUACUUUCAGCGGGGAGGAAGGCGAUAAGGUUAAUAACCUUGUCGAUUGACGUUACCCGCAGAAGAAGCACCGGCUAACUCCGUGCCAGCAGCCGCGGUAAUAAGGAGGGUGCAAGCGUUAAUCGGAAUUACUGGGCGUAAAGCGCACGCAGGCGGUCUGUCAAGUCGGAUGUGAAAUCCCCGGGCUCAACCUGGGAACUGCAUUCGAAACUGGCAGGCUAGAGUCUUGUAGAGGGGGGUAGAAUUCCAGGUGUAGCGGUGAAAUGCGUAGAGAUCUGGAGGAAUACCGGUGGCGAAGGCGGCCCCCUGGACAAAGACUGACGCUCAGGUGCGAAAGCGUGGGGAGCAAACAGGAUUAGAAACCCGGGUAGUCCCAUGA
rnacentral:rRNA from 1 species